rnacentral:rRNA from 1 species
CCUACGGGUGGCAGCAGUGGGGGAUAUUGCACAAUGGGGUGAACCCUGAUGCAGCGACGUCGCGUGGGGGAUGACGGUUUUAGGAUUGUAAACUCCUUUUGUGAGGGAAGAUAAUGACGGUAUCUCACGAGUAAGCACCGGCUAACUACGUGCCAGCAGCCGCGGUAAUACGUAGGGGGCCAGCGUUAUCCGGAUUUACUGGGUGUAAAGGGGGCGCAGGCGGCGAUGCAAGCCAGGAGUGAAAGCCCGGGGCCCAACCCGGGGACUGCUCUUGGAACUGUGUGGCUGGAGUGCAGGUGGGGUAGGCGGAAUGCCUGGUGUAGCGGUGAAAUGCGUAGAGAUCAGACGGAACACCGGUGGCGAAGGCGGCCUGCUGGACUGCAACUGACGUUGAGGCCCGAAAGCGUGGGGAGCAAACAGGAUUAGAUACCCGAGUAGUC